CAGUGUUGAUCCUCUGUCCUUAACUCAUGCCGCUGUGCUUUUUUAUUUAUUUCACAAUUGUGUGAGUUGAGUACAGAGUGUCAGUCCG
rnacentral:pre_miRNA from 1 species